rnacentral:rRNA from 1 species
GACAGAGGUGCCAAGCGUUAGGCGGAAUCACUGGGCUUAAAGCGUGUGUAGGCGGAACGUUAAGUGCCUUGUGAAAUCCCACGGCUCAACCGUGGAACUGCUGGGCAUACUGGCGUUCUUGAGCCAGCCAGGGGUCGUCGGAACAAACGGUGGAGCGGUGAAAUGCGUAGAUAUCGUCUGGAACGCCAAAGGUGAAAACAGACUGCUGGGGCUGUGCUGACGCUGAGACACGAAAGCCAGGGGAGCGAACGGG